GAUGAACGCUGGCGGCGUGCCUAAUACAUGCAAGUCGAGCGAACAGACGAGGAGCUUGCUCCUCUGACGUUAGCGGCGGACGGGUGAGUAACAUGUGGAUAACCUACCUAUAAGACUGGGAUAACUUCGGGAAACCGGAGCUAAUACCGGAUAAUAUAUUGAACCGCAUGGUUCAAUAGUGAAAGACGGUUUUGCUGUCACUUAUAGAUGGAUCCGCGCCGCAUUAGCUAGUUGGUAAGGUAACGGCUUACCAAGGCAACGAUGCGUAGCCGACCUGAGAGGGUGAUCGGCCACACUGGAACUGAGACACGGUCCAGACUCCUACGGGGGGCAGCAGUAGGGAAUCUUCCGCAAUGGGCGAAAGCCUGACGGAGCAACGCCGCGUGAGUGAUGAAGGUCUUCGGAUCGUAAAACUCUGUUAUUAGGGAAGAACAAAUGUGUAAGUAACUAUGCACGUCUUGACGGUACCUAAUCAGAAAGCCACGGCUAACUACGUG
rnacentral:rRNA from 1 species